ensembl:snRNA U2 U2 spliceosomal RNA
AUCGCUUCUUGGCCUUUUGGCUAAGAUCAAGUAUAGUAGCUGCUCUUAUUAGCUUAAUACCUGGUAUGUCCUCUUUCUGAGAAAAAUAUAUUAAAUGGGUUUUUACAGCAGGGAGAUGAAAUAGGAGCUAGCUCUCUCCACUCCAAGCAUUGACCUGGUAUUGCAGUACUUCCAAGAAUGGCACACCCCUU